rnacentral:rRNA from 1 species
GACGAACGCUGGCGGCGUGCUUAACACAUGCAAGUCGAACGGAAAGGCCCUGCUUUUGUGGGGUGCUCGAGUGACGAACGGGUGAGUAACACGUGAGUAACCUGCCCUCGCUUUUGGGAUAACUUCCGGAAACUGGGGCUAAUUCCGGAUAGGUGCUCCUGCUUCAUGGUGGGGGUUGGAAAGUUUCGGCGGUUGGGGAUGGUCUCGGGGCUUAUCAGCUUGUUGGUGAGGUAGUGGAGUACCAAGGCGUUGACGGGUAGCCGGCCUGAGAGGGUGACCGGCCACAUUGGGACUGGGAUACGGGCCAGAGUCAUACGGGAGGCAGCGGCGGAGGAUAGUGCAAAAUAGGCGGAAGCCUGAUGCAGCGACGCCGCGUGUGGGAUGACGGCCUUCGGGUUGUAAACCGCUUUCGGCUGUGACGAAGCGUGAGUGACGGUACUGGGUAAAGAAGCACCGGCUAACUACGUG